rnacentral:ncRNA from 1 species
UGGAAUACGUUCGUGUUACACUGUAUAACCUCAAUAAUUUGGUUUGAGGGUCUCUACCAGGAGCCAUAACUCCCUGAUUACAGAUUUUUAAUCUGUGAUU